GACGAACGCUGGCGGCGUGCUUAACACGUGCAAGUCGAACGGAAAGGCCCUGCUUUUGUGGGGUGCUCGAGUGGCGAACGGGUGAGUAACACGUGAGUAACCUGCCCUUGACUUUGGGAUAACUUCAGGAAACUGGGGCUAAUACCGGAUAGGAGCUCCUGCUGCAUGGUGGGGUUUGGAAAGUUUCGGCGGUUGGGGAUGGACUCGCGGCUUAUCAGCUUGUUGGUGGGGUAGUGGCUUACCAAGGCUUUGACGGGUAGCCGGCCUGAGAGGGUGACCGGCCACAUUGGGACCGAGAAACGGGCCAGAAUCCUACGGGAGGCAGCAGUGGGGAAUAUUGCAAAAUGGGCGGAAGCCUGAUGCAGCAACGCCGCGUGCGGGAUGACGGCCUUCGGGUUGUAAACCGCUUUCGCCUGUGACGAAGCGUGAGUGACGGUAAUGGGUAAAGAAGCACCGGCUAACUACGUG
rnacentral:rRNA from 1 species